rnacentral:rRNA from 1 species
CAAGGUAGGACUACCCGCUGAACUUAAGCAUAUCAAUAAA